CCUACUGGUGGCAUCAUUGGGGCAUCUUGCGCAAUGGGCGAAAGCCUGACGCAGCGACGCCGCGUGAGGGAUGAAGGUCUUCGGAUCGUAAACCUCUGUCAGCAGGUCCGCCCGGUCCCUGUGCUCCUCAGCAGUGAAUUGACGGUACCUGCAAAGGAAGCACCGGCUAACUCCGUGCCCGCCGCCGCGGUACUCCGGAGGGUGCGCGCGUUCCUCGGCAUGACUGGGCGUCACGCGCUCGUAGUCGGUAGUUCAAGUCAAGGGUGAACUCCCCGCGCUCAACGUGGGAACUGCCUUUGAAACUGGCAAACUGGAGUGUGUGAGAGGAUAGUGGAAUUCCAGGUGUAGGAGUGAAAUCCGUAGAUAUCUGGAGGAACAUCAGUGGCGAAGGCGACUAUCUGGCACAUAACUGACGCUGAGGAGCGAAAGCGUGGGUAGCAAACAGGAUUAGAGACCCUGGUAGUC
rnacentral:rRNA from 1 species